rnacentral:tRNA from 1 species
GCGCUUGUAGUUUAGUGGAUAAAACGUUGGUUUCCGGAACCAAAGACCGUGGGUUCGACUCCCACCGAGCGCA